AUAUAUUUGCGCAUCAUUGGUGCCUUAUCUUGCUCUGCAAGGUAGGCUUAAAAGGGAAGACCGGUGAGAAUCCGGCGCGGUCCCGCCACUGUAACGGAGAGCGUGGUUGAGAUAUGCCACUGUCGCUUUAAUGCGAUGGGAAGGUUCAACCAAGCGAUGACCCGGAGCCAGGAGACCUGCCAGUGAUGUAGAAGCACG
rnacentral:ncRNA from 2 species